UACGGAGGGUGCGAGCGUUGUCCGGAAUCACUGGGCGUAAAGGGCGCGUAGGCGGCGCAGGAAGUCAACGGUGAAAGUUCGGGGCUCAACCCUGAAUCGGCCGUCGAUACUCCUGGGCUCGAGCACUGUAGAGGCAGAUGGAAUUCCGGGUGUAGCGGUGGAAUGCGUAGAGAUCCGGAAGAACACCGGUGGCGAAGGCGGUCUGCUGGGCAGUUCCUGACACUGAGGCGCGACAGCGUGGGGAGCAAACAGG
rnacentral:rRNA from 1 species